UACGUAGGGUGCAAGCGUUAAUCGGAAUUACUGGGCGUAAAGCGUGCGCAGGCGGCUUUGCAAGACAGAUGUGAAAUCCCCGGGCUCAACCUGGGAGCUGCAUUUGUGACUGCAAGGCUGGAGUACGGCAGAGGGGGAUGGAAUUCCGCGUGUAGCAGUGAAAUGCGUAGAUAUGCGGAGGAACACCGAUGGCGAAGGCAAUCCCCUGGGCCUGUACUGACGCUCAUGCACGAAAGCGUGGGGAGCAAACAGG
rnacentral:rRNA from 1 species